ensembl:lncRNA
GCUUCACCUGUGCCAGUGGGUACAUACUGUACACACAGGAAGUUCCCAACAUUGUGAGUGGAACACAGCAGGAGUGUACAAGAAACUGCAGGAGAGCGCGGCUUCACACGAUCUCAGCAGAGCUGAAUCUCAGAGUCCCAAAAGUCCACAGGCCAUCUUUGGAAGAGGAAGUAGACCCUGCGAGGAACGCUAAGGCUGUCCUUCAUCUUGAGGACGACUGUCUCUGCUGGCCUUUUUAAAGGGACAUUCUGGCACCCUUCCCUUGCUGUACAAUCCGAGGAACUCUGUGCAUCUCUACAUCGGCCAAGGUUUUAAAGAUGCUUAAAGUGCUGUUUCUUUUUUUGCUUCUUACAGCUGGAGCUUUAUCUCAGGAUCUUGAAGAAAAUCCGGAUCUUGAAGGAUCUGCGGAUCUCGGUGACGAUGAAGAUUUUAUUAAUCAAGACAGGGAAUUAAUGAACAAUGCUGCUCCUGGGAAUUUUGGCAAAGCAAAAGGAGAUGAUGGUAAAGACAGCUCCUCCACUGUCAUCAUUGUAGCAGCCGUGUGCUCAGGGCUGUUGGCAGUUGCUGCAACCGUAGCCUUUCUAUUGGUCAGACGCCAGAGGCUCAGUCAGCAGCAAGGGAUGUAUGCCGCCCCAGCCGAGCAAUCUCUGAAAGGUGCCGUCUAGUCUCCAGACCAUGUCCUCAUGGUGCACCUGGCAAUGGGGCUCCACUCUGGCCCUGCUUAUAUGGGAGCUAGUGUGGGCAACUUGGACCUCCAUGCCCGUGCUCUUCUUACUUUUGGGAUUCUCAACGCAACGCCCUCCACUUCCCACCAGCAAUGAGCAUGAAUAAGUCAAGGACCUGCUGGGACCGCCAGAGACACACUCCCUAUUUUUUGCAACUUGCUCUAUAAUCACUCCUCCCCUCUUCUUCUCUUCAACAACUAUGCAACCUCUUGGUUUUCUGAAGAAAUCAGGAUUAGUUUUUCCAUUCUUUCUUUGAUGAUGAACUUGCCAGGACUGUGUAAGAUGAGGCCCAAUCAAGCCCAAGAAGUGACUAGAACCCAUUUUGGUACAAAAAGCAAAAACACACAUCAGUUUCUCCAAGAGCAUGUUAUUUACAGCCACUAUUGACUAUGUAGCAUGCUGUAGAAAUGUAAUGUUUUACAGCAUCACCUGUUGCAUGUUAAUCAUUUAUAAAUAAUCAUAGAUUGUGCUUAACAGGCAGCCAGUAUGCCCAGCGAGGUCAGGAUUUGCCAGAGGCACACAUAAUUUUCUUACAUAUACACACAUACACACACGUCUCCUAGCAACAGCCAGACUGUUGCUGUUGUGACAGAAGUAUGGCUGCACGUAUAUCCACAGAGGUAUCUUAGUUCUCCGAUUUCGUGCCUCUGGCAGCUCCUGUUUCUUUGUGUAGCGUAACCAAGAGUCACAACUUCACUAAGCUGAAAGGGGGCCCAAAAAAAAACACCAGUGUAAAACAGCUAUUUGAACAGUCCCUUGAAAAUACUGCUGUAAAUUGCUGCCCUGAGUGUGGUUUUUAUAUUUUUUACCAUUCAUUUGCCUGACUCAGAACUGUAUUACUUGUUGUAAAUAUCUCUGAAGGUUAGCAAUGGUAAUAUGUUUCAGAGGACAGGGUGAAAGAGAAUCAAAUCGACUGUGGGCAACUGAAUGGAAAACACACCACGCUGUACAUUUUAUUCGUACAGGUUACAUUUGGUGUUGAUCAGUCCCCCCCUUUCCAUUUAAAUGGAAAUCAAUCUCGCCCUUGGAACCUAAGCCACAGGGAUGGCAUGUAACUUUUUUUUAAUACUAAGUUAGCUCCAAAUUCUAAAAACAAAAUUAUUUCUGCUCAGAGAUGAGCAGAAUGUAAUAUUUUUUUGUCAGUUUGGAUGGAUGCAGUGCAGGAUUACAUGGAGACUGAGUGAAUCGCUGACCAACAGAUAGCCUGUGUAAAAACAGUCAAUCUCAUAUAAAAAAAAAAAAACAAUCUUGGCUGGUGAAAUAGAAUGCUUACUGUCUGACUCCACUCAACCUUGGAGCUCUGAUGUCAUCAAGCGAGGAUUAGCAUGGCUGAACGCCAACAGAGAACCAAUUCAGAUUCAUGUUGUUUGCUGGUGUCUCUUUUGUACCACAUUUGCUCGGGCUUGUUUUUUUCCUUAUUACAUUCACUAAAAAAAUAGUUGCCAAGGAAUUAUUUUUGCAAAAUGGGAAUUCUUGUGUGUUUGUGGAAAAUGCACAUCACUGAUAAAUUAAAAUAAGCCUGCUGCAAAAAUUUAAAAUCUGAAAGUAUUUCAAUAAGAUAAUUUGACAUUAAGAACAUUUCAGGAGCAUUUUAAUUUUCCCUUUUAUUUCUUCUGUAUUCUGACUUGUGUUAUUUAAAGGACAUUUUGUUUUCUUCUUAAGAUUAUCACAAGCAGUACACUGUGGCACUCCACAGAGAGUGUUAGUCAUGGUAAGGUUUGUAGUAAACAUUACUGCUAAGCCUUGCACAUUUCAUGUAUACCAUUUAUAGAGGGUUCACAUUGUGCCAUAGAAACUAUUUGAAAAUGAAUGUCCUUGGAUUUCUCUCAGCGCUUCUUAUUCCAUUUCCCCUCAUAACGUAGUGUAUGUUUUAUAAAAUUGUACCAGGAUCAUUUUUCCCCCCUCCUUUUUUCUUGUGAAUGUCAAAAAUGCACUUUCUGUUCCUCCUGGAGCUUGUUUUCGUAGCAAAUGCUGUACGUCUUUGUCAUAGUAGAUUAACAGUAUUGUGGUUUUGAAAUGUGGUUUUUAAAUAUCCAACAAUGGGGGAAAAAAAUCUUUCUACAGCUUUGCCUUAAGUCCAUGAGGACUUUUCUUCUUUUUUUCCUGUUUAAAAAUAAUACUUUUUCAUGGUCAGCUCUGUUAAAUAGUGCUUAGCCCAAAAGCAAAUCUUUUCACUGAUCUACCCCAUCCCUGCAAAAGACCUAAUAACAUAAGCACACAUUUUAUUUUGAUAUAGCUGUGCUGCACACCUUGGUCUUAAUACAAUAAUAUAAUGGCAAAGGAAUAUUCACUUUAUUUGACCCCUUUUGUAUUUAUCCAUACAUAGAAAUACAUUUUAAAAAAGCCAUAGCUCUCUGGAUUUUUUAAUGCUUAAAAGGAAGCAGUUUCUUAUUCUAAAAAUGUUGUACUAAUCCAACAGACACUAUAUUCCCACCAUCUUUAUUUUCAUCACUUUGAAAUAUGUAUUUUUUUCUGUUUUCUAACAAUAGAUAAGGGAUACAAUGAGGCUGUUGGUUUUUUUGACAUACUUUGUGAGAAGUAAACAUUGUUCACUUGUUACAGCUCUACUUUGCCAUGAUUACCAUGUUUCGUUGCUAGAAGGCCAAAGAGCACAACUGCCACUGCUGGGUGAUUAAUGCACUAAAGGGAGAUGAACGGUGUCUGAAGGUGCAGAAAGCAGAAAAGUCUUAUUGUGAGCCACGGGUGGUUUUAUUGCCGCCCUGACCCUUUUUGUCAGUGCUUUACAGGGCCUGAUCUACGUACCAAGCUGUCAAGCAUUUGAAGGAUAACACCCGGGUACGAAACAAAGUAUAGACAUCAUGUUUCAGAUAGAACAACAGAUAAGUUUUUGAUCAGCCUGAUUAUGUGCAUAUGUAGUUCAGGGGCUUUCAUAUUAUCCUAGCAUUCCAUAUAAAUAUAAACAUUCACACUCUAUUCACUGAUGCAGUGCACUGCGUAAAGUGCAAACGAAAUGUAAUGUUUAAUAUAACUGCUGACUGGGUUGGGAUUACUUGGGUUUUGUAUAUAUUAUAAACACUUCUGAAUGUUUAUGUACCAAAUGAUUACUGUUUGACAAUAAAUGCCUUCUGCUGUACUUUUUUCUGUUGGUG